rnacentral:rRNA from 1 species
GAUGAACGCUAGCGGCAGGCUUAAUACAUGCAAGUCGAGGGGCAGCAUAAGUAGCAAUACUUGAUGGCGACCGGCAAACGGGUGCGGAACACGUACGCAACCUUCCUUUAAGUGGGGAAUAGCCCGGGGAAACCCGGAUUAAUACCCCGUAAUAUUAUGAUGUGGCAUCACAUUAUAAUUAUAGAUUCAUCGACUUAAAGAUGGGCGUGCGCCUGAUUAGGUAGUUGGCGGAGUAANAGCCCACCAAGCCUGCGAUCAGUAACUGGUGUGAGAGCACGACCAGUCACACGGGCACUGAGACA